GUAGCGCCAAGAUGGCGGCGCGCUGCCAGUACUCAAGAUGGCGCCUGUGCCCGCGGUUGCGGCCGAAGUAAGAGUGUCGAUGUUUCCGUGGUUAUAUUACCUUAGCGGUGCUAAAAACGAGGGGAAAGCUCGUGCGUUGGCGGAUGAGAGGAGUGCAGUGCUGUAGGACUAACCAGGCCCAGCUCCCACAGUCUCUCCUCAUAGAGAUGCUCCAGACCCCUCAUCAUCUCUGGGGCUUCCCCUGGACCCUCUCCAGUAGCUCCUUGUCUUUCUUGUACUCUUUCUACACCUGGUAAUACUUCUUAUCUCUGUGUACAGGCAGGAGGCUGCAGGAGGGAAUGUCCUUCCUGGAUGAUAUCUGAUACCAACUGAUCUGCAAUUUUUGUGUAAUUCUGUUAAUGGGAAAAGGCACUGAGGAACUGCAAGAAUGAAUUGGCCUCCCUGUGAGUCACGAGGUCUUAAACUUAGAAAUUCAGCUGUGCAAUAAGCAUGUGAUCCCAUCAGCGUGCCAGGAGAAAUUCCCAGAGCACCUGAUCCUCAACAGUUGGUUGGAAGCACCCCCAGACCGGGGUUGUUUUGUGGCUGGAUGGAAUUGGCUGUGAGUCCCGGUAGAAAUGAGCUCAUCCCAAGGAGUGAGCUCUGCCUGGUGUCCCCUGACCUCUGUGGGAACAGUGUGUGUGCAGCCUGCAGAGCACUGAUUUCAUGGAAUACAUGUUUACCGGCUGCAGCCAGGAUUUAUUGCCCAAUUCUGAGUGCUGUGGGGUAGCCUGUGCUGUCGCUGAGGUGAGGAGGCAUUUACAGCUGGCAGUGCCUUGCGGGACUAAUGUUCAGCCUGUAACAGUUUCUUCAGCUGCUUGCAACAAUUUGUUUUCACAGAGAAUGCUUAUUUCUCCAGUUUAUUCAGAGUGUAAAUGUUUCAGGAGCAGGGAUAAAUGUUACAUGGAGGGAUGGAGGCCAAAUACAUCAAGAGUGGCCCUAAAAGCAAGUAAUACCUUUAAGUGCUAUCUACUGUCGACAUAGGAAAGCUUUUAGGAGGUGAAGUUUUUGGAAAGUAGCUUUGCAAAGGUGCUGUUACCUCCCCAGGGCACCUUAACACAGGAUGGUGCUCUCUUGUCUGAGGUUGUCAGGCCUGGUGUGAUGGUGGGUCGUGGAUCUGGUGUCCUGUGGGGAAAUGGCAUCCAUAGCUAAUGGAAAGCAGAGGGUGCUCUUGGCAAUAAAAUACAUGGGACAUCUAAUUAUCUAAUGAUUACACAACUAUGAUCUUAUACUGUGCACUGAAACAGAGACUCUUUGCACACACUUCAGUUUGUAUAAGUUUUUGCUCUUUUUGUUUGAAUCCUUAAAUUGAAAAUAAUUCAGUCCAGGUAUUCUUAAGCCAGAGGAUGAAAUAGGGAUACUUAAGGUUUGUACCUAAGAUGUAUUGAAUAUUUCUGCAAAUGGUUCAAUUUCCAUGCAGUUCUCUGGUUUUCAUUGUGAAUAUGAAGAAAUAUGGGGGAAAAUUUAAUCUGCUGCCCUUUGAUGAUGUGCAGAAGCACAACCAGUCCUGUAACAGAUGAGUAACUUGGUUGCCCAGAGAGGUUGUAGAUCCCCAUCCCUGGAAGUGUCCAAAGCCAGGUUGGACAGGGCUUGGAGUAACCUGGUCUAGUGGAA